rnacentral:rRNA from 1 species
UACGUAGGGGGGCAAGCGUUGUCCGGAUUUAUUGGGCGUAAAGAGCGUGUAGGCGGCCGCACAGGUCCGUUGUGAAAACUGGAGGCUUAACCUUCAGACGUCGAUGGAAACCGUGCGGCUAGAGUCCGGAAGAGGAGAACGGAAUUCCUGGUGUAGCGGUGAAAUGCGCAGAUAUCAGGAAGAACACCCGUGGCUAAGGCGGUUCUCUAGUACGGUACUGACGCUGAGACGCGAAAGCGUGGGGAGCGAACAGG